rnacentral:rRNA from 1 species
GCUACAGGCUUAACACAUGCAAGUCGAGGGGCAGCAUGGUCUUAGCUUGCUAAGGCCGAUGGCGACCGGCGCACGGGUGAGUAACACGUAUCCAACCUGCCGUCUACUCUUGGACAGCCUUCUGAAAGGAAGAUUAAUACAAGAUGGCAUCAUGAGUCCGCAUGUUCACAUGAUUAAAGGUAUUCCGGUAGACGAUGGGGAUGCGUUCCAUUAGAUAGUAGGCGGGGUAACGGCCCACCUAGUCUUCGAUGGAUAGGGGUUCUGAGAGGAAGGUCCCCCACAUUGGAACUGAGACACGGUCCAAACUCCUACGGGAGGCAGCAGUGAGGAAUAUUGGUCAAUGGGCGCAGGCCUGAACCAGCCAAGUAGCGUGAAGGAUGACUGCCCUAUGGGUUGUAAACUUCUUUUAUAAAGGAAUAAAGUCGGGUAUGUAUACCCGUUUGCAUGUACUUUAUGAAUAAGGAUCGGCUAACUCCGUGCCAGCAGCCGCGGUAAUACGGAGGAUCCGAGCGUUAUCCGGAUUUAUUGGGUUUAAAGGGAGCGUAGAUGGAUGUUUAAGUCAGUUGUGAAAGUUUGCGGCUCAACCGUAAAAUUGCAGUUGAUACUGGAUAUCUUGAGUGCAGUUGAGGCAGGCGGAAUUCGUGGUGUAGCGGUGAAAUGCUUAGAUAUCACGAAGAACUCCGAUUGCGAAGGCAGCCUGCUAAGCUGCAACUGACAUUGAGGCUCGAAAGUGUGGGUAUCAAACAGGAUUAGAUACCCUGGUAGUCCACACGGUAAACGAUGAAUACUCGCUGUUUGCGAUAUACAGCAAGCGGCCAAGCGAAAGCGUUAAGUAUUCCACCUGGGGAGUACGCCGGCAACGGUGAAGCUCAAAGGAAUUGACGGGGGCCCGCACAAGCGGAGGAACAUGUGGUUUAAUUCGAUGAUACGCGAGGAACCUUACCCGGGCUUAAAUUGCAGAUGAAUUACGGUGAAAGCCGUAAGCCGCAAGGCAUCUGUGAAGGUGCUGCAUGGUUGUCGUCAGCUCGUGCCGUGAGGUGUCGGCUUAAGUGCCAUAACGAGCGCAACCCUUGUUGUCAGUUACUAACAGGUUUCGCUGAGGACUCUGACAAGACUGCCAUCGUAAGAUGUGAGGAAGGUGGGGAUGACGUCAAAUCAGCACGGCCCUUACGUCCGGGGCUACACACGUGUUACAAUGGGGGGUACAGAGGGCCGCUACCACGCGAGUGGAUGCCAAUCCCAAAAACCUCUCUCAGUUCGGACUGGAGUCUGCAACCCGACUCCACGAAGCUGGAUUCGCUAGUAAUCGCGCAUCAGCC